GACUCCACUGCCGGCCUGGGCGUGGGCAGGUUUGCUCCCGGGAGGAGAAGGCCUCCAUCCUGGCCCACAAUAGCCAACCCAAAACAGUUCUGGCAAAAUUAAAAGACGCAGGAAAAUGCCAGCGACCGUUUAUUUUCUCCUAGGGUAGAUGGGGGAGAAAGCAGCUCCUUUUUCUGGGCUGAAUGGAGUCUCAGGGAGGGGGCUAGGUGACAGCAUCGCCCUUUCCUCUCCGGCUAUUGCGCACCUUCUGGAGCCUCGCUCAGCCUGCUCCCUCCGGCGUAAUACGCCAAUGCUGCUACCCACAACGCACAGACCAGAAACCAGGAUAGACAGAAGCCUAGAAUGGCCUGGCAUCGAGCAGGCCCAGCGCAAACGCAAGGUCUCUUCCUCUCCUUUCGGUGAACCCCACGCCCAGUCCCGAGAGAGAGAGCGGAUGCUCAUUUCCGAAAGCUGGCAAUCCUGCAGUGGCCACUGGAAAAAUACAUAUACGUGUGUGUGUGUGUGUGUGUGUGUGUGUGUGUGUGUGUGCGCGCGCGCGCACACAGUGCAUAUCGUGCCCAUCUACAAGGAAACCUGGAGGCUCCACAAACAACUUUGAGUCCCGGGAGGGCGGAGGUGGAGAGAGAUUCUCCGCUUGGAUAAGGGCGGCUGGAUAGCCGAGUACUCUCUUUUGGGGCUGUUGGCCGUCUCCGGAGUCUCGGGAGCGCCUUGAUGUCCCUUCCCAGGGCUCGGGUUCCUUUGAGAGAAUCAAGAGGAAGGUGUUUUUCACUAGGACUCGCGGUGGGCCCCACCUGCCUACCGUGGCCGGCCGGGAGCUAUUACAGCAGGGUCUGCCCGUCCGACGACGGCGGCUCCAAUCUGGGGUCCCGCCGGCGCCGACCCCUCAGCUCUCUCCCGAUACCUGCUGGCCUCUCUCAUCUUUGGUGGCACUCGCCGCCACGGGGACGGUGAGAUCAAAGAGGUAGACCUAGGCCAGGAGGGACUGCCAGGGCUCCUUCCCGCGGGCCAGCCUCUCGUCCUUCCUCCCGGGACGGGGCUCUUUCCCUUUCUCCGGAUGCGGGCCUUUGAGAGUCAGCGACGCCUUAGACUCCUCCCAGAAAAAUGCACCCUCAUCUACCCAAUUCUGCCCUACCCUUUGGAGCUCCUGGACCCUCUAACCGCUCGGUGGGGUCAGAGCCCACCCCCGGAAGGGCCGCUGGUCGGGGACUGGUUCGCCCUCUCCUGGCCUCCUCGGACCAGUGCGCGGGGAGGAUCCCGCUAACGCCGGGCGCCUGCAGACCUUGAGCGGCCUCGCCCUGGUGACCUCCCCGGGAAAGGCUGGGCGGUGCUUCCACAAUGAGGGCCACCUGUUAAUUUGCACGAGAAAGUGCUGCCGAGGGCCCACACGUGCGAAUCCACCUGUGGAGUGCGUCCCCUCUCUGGGGCCAAGGCCUAGGGGAGGCCGAAGCGGAGAAGUUGCCUGAAGACUGGGAAGUAAGAGUAGGGGCGUCGGAGGAAUCGAAGUUGCAGUGACAUCAGGCUCGGACAGCCGGCGGACUCCUCGCAAGGCCUCAAACUUCUUCAUGGGAAAAGAUGGCUUCUCUUUUUUAAUUGAAUGAACUAGAAGAAGUUCAUUGUUAUUCAUCAACUUCAAAGAGACUAUAUGAGGCCCCUUGGCCAGGACUACAGAGCAGUAUUUUUUAAUCAGAAAUUAUAGCCAAAAAGAAGAGACCAGAACACAUGGAUGAAGAAGGAAGGCAUUAAAGAUUAUGUAAUUUGCUGGGUGUGGUGGCUGACGCCUGUAAUCCCAGCACUUUGGGAGGCAGAGGCUGGCGGAUCACUUGAGGUCAGGAGUUCGAGACCAGCCUGGACAACAUGGCAAAAACCUGUCUUUACUAAAAAUACAAAAAUUAGCCAGAUGUGGUGGUGGGCGCCUGUAAUCCCAGCUACUUGGGAGGCUGAGGCAUGAGAAUCGCUUGAACUCGGGAGGCAGAUGUUGCAGUGAGCAGAGAUGGCGCCACUGCACUCCUCCCUGGGCGACAAAGCAAGACUCCGUCUCAACAUCACUGAACCAGUAGGGGGCAGAGCUGGAAGUUGAGCCUAGGUGUGUCUGACUCCACAGCCUACGCCCCGAACCUUGACUUUGUGCUUUCUCACAAUGCCUAUGGCUGCUGCUUUAAAACAGCACUUUCCAUUUGCCUUGUUAAAUGGGAUUGUAUAUGAAUUAUACUUCACUGUUUAUUUCUAGAGAAAUAAAAGAAUCUAAUAAAGGAAUCUGACACGGACCUUGGGUGAAUA
rnacentral:lncRNA from 1 species